ACUUUUUUGGCGCAUGCGCCAGGUGAGCAACUACUAUAGGACUGAAUGGGCGCCGUUUUUAGUCUGGUAUUCAGCUCUUAUAGUACAUCCAUGGCGCGAACAUGUAAACAAGAAGAACCGAGCAUUUCCUGAGGUCCAACUGUGAGCGAGAGGGAAACAACUUCUGUCAAGUUAUUAAUGUUGAGAAACUCCGCUUCACGUGUUGAAGGACCUUCUCAGUCCAAUCAUCCAGAGGCAAAACACUAACUACCGGGAUUGUAUCUCCGUUUUGGAACGACUGAUGAUUGCACUGUGCUUCUUGGCAACAGGAGAAAGCUUUAGGAGCCUUUCUCACCAGUUCAGAGUAGGAGUAUCAACAAUUCGGCAAUUGGUCCCUGAAACCUGCUCAGCAAUCUACCAGGUUUUAAAAGAGAAAUACUUGAAGUGCUCAGACACACAAUGGAAGAGUGGCAGGAAGUAGCCGAUGGAUUCCAGGCUCAGUGGAACUUCCCAAACUGCCUAGGUGCUUUGGAUGUUAACACCCCCCCCUCAGGAACUGGAUCAACAUUCUACAACUACAAGCAUACAUUUUCCAUAGUCCUAAUGGCACUGGUUGACAGCAAAUGUAAGUUCCUUUAUGUAGAUGUUGGUUGCAAUGGGCGGAUUUCAGAUGGCAGAGUGUUUGGUGGAUGCUCACUGCAGGAUGCUCUGGAGAAGAGAACAUCCAACAUCCCUGCCCCUGCAUCACUUCCUGCUUCUGACCAGCUGGCUGCUUAUGCAUUGUGGCAGAUGAGGCAUUUCCCUUGAAGGAGUACCUCAUGAAGCCAUAUCUGAACCGCAGGCUAUCUGUAGAGCAACACAUCUUCAAUUACAGGCUGUCACGAGCUUGCAGGGUGGUAGAAAAUGCUUUUUCCUAGCAAAUCAUUUUUGGGUCUUUCUAACCACCAUUAACAUUCAAGACACUGCCAAAGUGGAGGACAUUAUUUUGGCUCGCUGUGCUCUGCACAACUUCCUACAGAUCGAGAGCUGUGACCAAUACAUGGCAGGGAUCGUUGACCAGGAAGGACCAAAUCAUGACACGGUCCGAGGAAGACAAGGCCCUGACCUACAGCAGGCUUCCCUGCCACACACAACCAAUGCUACAACACAAGCCAAGCAGCACAGGGAUGAACUAUGCCGUUACUUCGUGUCUGAUAUCGGUGCAGUGCCUUUUCAGUGGGGCAAAAUAUAGGAAAUGUGUAUGCCUAUCCUGUAAUGGAUAUUGUAGUGUCUAACUGACAAGAAAACUACUUGGCUGUGGUUUCAGGUCUAUGGCUGUCGUCUAAAAAUACAAAAUAAAGUUAUUUUGCAUGAUA